GAUCAUGGCUCAGAUUGAACGCUGGCGGCAGGCCUAACACAUGCAAGUCGAACGGUAACAGGAAGAAGCUUGCUUCUUUGCUGACGAGUGGCGGACGGGUGAGUAAUGUCUGGGAAACUGCCUGAUGGAGGGGGAUAACGUACUGGAAACGGUAGCUAAUACCGCAUAACGUCGCAAGACCAAAGAGGGGGACCUUCGGGCCUCUUGCCAUCGGAUGUGCCCAGAUGGGAUUAGCUAGUAGGG
rnacentral:rRNA from 1 species